GAAGCCAUGCGUCCACAUGGAGAUGAUGAUAGGACAGACAUUAUGUUCACCACCACCGGGCCUUUCCCGGCCACCUGCUCCCUCCUUACACCUGGCAGAUGCUGCAGUGGCCGACAUGCUGCAGGUGGUUGCAUGAUGAGCAGAGCCAACAGCAGUGAAGAGAACAGAUGGACGUUUUCAGAGGUAAAUGGCUCAAUUUUUGUUUUUUAAAGCCACAUUGGCAAGUCCCCAAAAUCCAUCACAUUCAGUGCCCCGUGUAACAUUUUUUUCGAGCUACUUUAGCGCUAAUGUCUUCAGAUGCCUCAUCAAAGCUUCCCUUAUACCGAACAGGGCGUGAUUUAAUCUCUCUGCCCUUUGCCCACUUUUUUUGCACUUUUGCACAAAAUGAUGUAUUGGGGAGACUACUGCUGACCCACUGAUGGGUUCCUUCAAUGUUGAGGAGCGGAUUGAAUUAACAAUACGAAAGCCGUGAGCUCAAACAAUGUUACCAAUUUAUGAAAUAUUCAACACCCAUUUCACCCAAACACAAAGUUCCACUCGGCACCUGGUGUGAGUUAGGAUCCACUUCCUUCAACCAGGGAGUGAAUUUGGAUGCAGCUUCAAAGCUUUCCAUGAGCUUUAAUCAGGUUAUAAACUCAUGUGCAGGUAGCAGGGGGGAGUGGAAGCACUCAGUCUGAGCGCUGAGACUGAAUCACAAGCUCACCGCCUCUUUUUUUUCCCCCCCUCGCAGUCAGGGUCAAACCUGAUUACAGAUGAUUGGUGAGAUUGGUUGGGAGCCGCUGAUGGAGGAAGAGGCCCUCGGAGCUCCUCUCUUUCCCCGUCAGCCUCACUCUCUAAUUAACUGUGUGUGUGUGUGUGUGUGUGUGUGUGUGUGUGUGUGGAAGAGCAGCAAGGUGACUGAGGGUGAUUCAAGCGCGCUAUCCUUAACGAGGGUAAUGUCACAAAAGAGUCCAAUACCCAUGAUUGCGUGUAUCCAAAUGUGUAUGUUUCUUUCUGACAAUAACCCAGACAACCACAGGCGACUUCCUGACACAACGCCGGUUGUGUUAAUGCGAUGCUUUUAAAAAGCCUUCACACGUCACACGUCACUGUGCCUGGGUUUGCUCAAGGACUAACGGGAGGAACGGGACGCUCCCUUUAAUGAUUCAACCUUCUCAUCACAAAAUCAAAUAAACAGACGAGCCUGUGAUCCAGUUCUACUACACUGCUGUGGCAUGAAAAACCUUCUCAGAGGAGAAUUUCACCUAGGUUUUUAAAGACAAAGGACAAAACGAAACACAUACGGCGAAACACUCAAGAGACGAAUCGAGUGUUUAUCACAGCGAGCCACUUCAAGGCGUUCUUUGAAUGCCUCCUUUUACAGUAGAAAUAGACUUUUGUUGACAGUUUGUAUUGAGGUUUGAGGGACAUCGCAAAAUGAAAAAGGGACAUUCUCAAUUCCACAGAAAGAUAAAAGCAGCAGAUCCUUUAUCUGUUUUUUCAAAAAAACAAGAACUGUUUCAUUAAAUACACUGCCAAGGCUUUUUACACCGUGUGUCUAUCCCAAUUUUCAGCAGCUAUUUAUCAAGAAAAGUAUAAAUCCAUUCCUUAAACCUUUUUGAUGAGGAAAUAAAAAGGCAGUAAAUUAGGGCAGUCCUUGACUAAAAAAAUGAUCUCUCAAUUCAUUAAAAGAUGUGAGAAACUGACUUUAGACGCAAAUAGUCUCACAAAAGCACCAUUUUCAUGUUUGGAACGGAUUUAAUCAUUGGCUUCUCAAAAAAAAUAGAUUAAAAAAUGAAUAAAGAAAUGGAGGACAACAGAUUGUUUGACUAUUCAAUGUGAGGGGUCAUCAUUUAGUUCCGACUGUGUGGUGAAACCUUGAGGGGUCAGCAGAUAUUGGGCUUAUUUUGCAUUGAAUGAAUAUCAUCGACGUCUGUACCAUUUCAACAUCCAAUUUCUGUGAAAAGCGUAUGUCAUCGUGUAGGACACAACUUUCGUCGUGGAGGUAAAUCAACUUCUUCUUCGAGUGGCAUCCUGAUUCUUCAAGAUGGACGAUCAGCUCUCAUGUAAACCCUCUGUGUAGAACACUGCUAUGAAAGCAAUCCGCUGGGCUUUUAUGACCGCAAUCUGAAUGAAUGGAAACGUGACCAAAUGGUGGAAAGAAAACCCCAAUGAGACUUAUCAUACACGUGCAGACCUCCAGCAGACGUUCAGGACCUCAGACAGCCUUCGUCAAUGCCCUCUGAGCCCGGCGUCUGCUCCUCCGAUCCCCGGGAUCUGAAUGUCAAAUCCAUUUGAUAAGGUUUGCCGUCAAUCAUCCGCUGUCAUCUGCAGGCAUCCAAGUCCGGAUGAUAGCAGGCGGGUAGCUGUGACCUCGCUCAGCCACAGCUGGGACCCGGACAGAGAGUUGCCACCUUCGCUCCCUCCACAUGCAGACGGAGAGACAUCAGACGUCAGCGGUGCUGCCGGCACGCGAUGUGUAACCAGCGUACUCUCAAAAACGUGCAUGCAGAGUUUGGACCAGAGGCAUUAACUUAUAAUGUCAGGAUUCAUUUGAUUCAUCUAAUUAUUUUUCCUCAGAACAUAAAGUACAAUGGGUGAUUCUUCUUUGGUAUAAUAAAUCAGCUUCUUCUAAUUGGUGGACUGGAAAUAAUUAGUGUGUUAAUUUCAGCGCUUGUAAUAAAAGCUUUGAAAAGCC